UGGGGGCAGUCAGCAGUCCCUGUAAGUUGUCGGGGCGUUACACAUUGCAUGAAUGGUGGGUCCACUGAUUGGAUGUUUUGUUUGGUUUCAUUUCAAUUGAAAGUUAAGAAUUUGUUUAGAUGGAGUUGGUGGUUGAGGCACUGUCACGGUUUGGUGAUGAUUGGAGGAGAAAAUUUUAUUAAAUAGCUUUUGGCUUUUAGAAGAAGGAGGUCACGGCAGGGGAGAACUUUUUAGAAGUUUAUUUUCUUUUUCUAAUUUCCAUUGCUCUUGGGUAGUGCAUCUGAUGUUGGGGUUUUAGGAGAAUGGAGGAAUUGAUUUUCUUUAUUUUAUAGAAGCUAGGGAAGUCACGUGAAAAUGGUAGAAUCAACCCUGUGUUUUCAAAUUGUUUUGUUUUAGAAUAUUUUACAUUGUAUGUUGAGUUGUUUCUUAUCUUUUUAAUUGAGUGUUGCAUUUUGAUGGCUUUAAUUAUGUUUGGAUAUUUAUCUAUUGCAUUGUUCAAUUUACUUUUUUGUUCACUAUGUUGUUUAUUUUGUUUGGUUUCUUUACCUUCUUGCAUUUCCAUUUUCCUAACUUGGUUUAGAGAUAGUUUGGUCUCAAUGUAGAAUCAUUCGGUCAUCUGUAGGACCGUUCGAUCUUCAUGCUUUGUCCAUUUAUUUCAAAUUUUCAAGUAUGUUUGGUUGCCUUUAAUUUUCAGUUUUAACUUAAUUUAAUUUUCCUUGCAAAAACAUUUUCAACCCCCUCCUCCCACUAUGUGUUAGACCCAAGUCUCGAACCGUAGUUGGUCCUUGUGAGACGACCUAGGAGUCACUUCCUAGCUAUACUGCAUUUCUCAUAUGCAAUCAAAUUUGUAUGGGCCGCGACACCCAUCAAAAUUUUGGCGUCGUUGCCGGGGAUCAACGGUUCGAUUUUAGGUCUUUUGUUGUGUUAGUGUGUGUUGUGUUUUAUAUUGUAUUGUGAGUGUGAUGUUCUCUUUUGUGUGUUCGUCAUUGUGUGUUGCAUUUAGGUAGCUUUAGUUGCAUAUUUUCAUUGCAUUCUUCUUUUCCCGCCUCUUUCCCAUGUCUACCUAUUUUGGCUAUGUGAACACUGCUUCUUCUUCCUGUGUCUAUGAUUAUAAUUCUCCUUUUGCAGUUAACUCUUAUAUUGCUUCUCAUGCAUAUUCUGCUGAUUUCUAUGUUGAGAACAAUAUGACUCAUCCUCCCAUUUUUUAGAGUGCUCUUUGGGAGCCAGUUUCACAUAGUGAGUAUGAUGUUCAUUGCGUUCUCACCUCUGGACUGAUAGAUUUACUGCCUAAGUUUCAUGGUUUUGCAGGUGAAUGCCCACAUAAACAUUUGGAGGAGUUCCACACCAUUAGCUCUUCAAAGAAACCUCCUCAUGUCCCAGAUGAUCACAUUUUCUUAAAGGCAUUUCUGCAUUCAGUAAAAGAAGCAGCAUGGGAAUGACUUUAUUAUCUUCCUCCAGAAUUCAAGGCCAAUUGGGAAGAUCUUAAGCAUCAGUUUUUGGAAAGAUUUCGCCCUACUCAGCAUCAUUUUGAUUCAUAUAGCAACGAUCUUGGGUGAAAUGAUCCUAACUUGGGAUGGUAUGGUACUUUACAGCUUCAAUAUCAAGAACCACCAUUCUGGAGUGCUUGUAUGCCUCCCUGAUGGGUGUCGCGGCUCAUACAAAUUUGAUUGAAUAUUAGAAAUGCAGUAUAAUGCUAGGGAAUGACGCCUAGGUUGUCUCUCAAGGACCAACUGCGGUUCAGAGUCAAGUCUAACACGAAAGGGGGGGUUUUGAAAAGUGUUUUUGUAGUGAAUGCGGAAAAUUUAAAAUUCACGCUGGAACUGGACAGCUCUGACCUUUGCUCAAUGUUUUACUCAUAACUUUUUCUACAGAGCUCUAAAUGAGAUGAGGUUUUUUUUCCUGGAAAGUAGACUCAAUUAUCUUUCAUGUGAUAUAUAAAACGUAGCAUUUGGACCUCUAGUGUGGUUGCAGUUAUUUUUUAAAAUCGAGUCCAGAGAGUGAAAAUGCUAAACCAAAUACCAGACUAAACAAAUAUCUAAACACAGUUAAAUUAAAUUAAAUGCAAAACUUAAACGAAUAAAGAAAGAAAACACAUAGUAAGUGGAAAGAAAAUUAAAUGCAAAAUAUUUAAACCAAAUUAAAGCUAGGACAAACUAUUGGAGCUCCUUCCCUUGCAAGUGAAUCAACGUCACAUCUCCACAAAGAAAAGAGAAGUUCAACACAUCUCCCUCUCUUCUUUGAAUCAACGUUCCAAUCCAUUGAAUGCAUUUGCAUGCCUCCUUCAGCUAAAUUAGAAAGACCGUGUGUGCAUCCAAUUUUGCCAGCAAAGAAAUAAAAAGGGACGUGCUUCUCUAGUUAUCCAAGGAAAGCAAUUAAAUGCUUUUUCACGUAAAAGCUACUAGAAUCAAACUAAAAAAAGUAAAACACCACUUGCUAAGGAAAGUUGGACGUGGCAACCACCAAAUUGAAUCAUUCUCUCCUUUUUUUUUUAAAGAAAUGGAAUAAUUUCAUAUGCACAACAAAAUGAAAAUGUCGUAAGUUCCAUGAAUGCAUCUAAAGUGUGAUAGAAUAGAAAUGCUUCCUUCAAUUGAAAAUAAAGAAACUAAAAUCCAUGUGCGGUGGCUAAGAAACCAAAUGCUAUUAAAAAAAAUAAAAAUAAAAAUAAAAAUCCAUGAACCGUUCCAGCACCGUCCAGCUUCCAGGUGUUGCUUCCAUCAAUUAGCGCUCCUUGCACAUGAAUAUCCGAGAGAAUGGGAAUGAGUUCCCUGCACCGUUCCAGCAAGUGCCUUCUUCCAAAGUCAUCCAAAAUCCAUCACAUGUAUCAUCCUUCAAAGAAGAGAAUGCAAUGAGAAUUAAAUGCUCCAGCCGAGAGAGCCCCCCAAGAGUGACGGCUGUAGCCUCUUUUUCUUCCUAGGAUCAAGUGUCUCAAAAAUUAGGGUGGGGUCCACCCAACCCUAGGGUGCCAUGUGUAUAUUUUUUUUACUAUUGGGCUCAAGAACAAAUACUAAAAAUUGGCCCACAAUGUCAAAGUUUGUCUAAAAAUUCUAAACUACUAAAUUAAAAUACAACUAAUUCUAAAACGUUUAUGGAAGAGUCUUGAUUUAUUUUGUCUCCUCCAAAUGUCCCAAAUUGUGUUUCCAAAAUUUUCCCUGAAAAUAAUAAUGCAAAUAAUUAGCUCAGAAAAUUCAAAUUAAUUAAAAUUAGAAUUUCCGAUCAAAUUAAGCAUAACUAGGAAAAACGGGAAAAUACCGGACAAUUAAGCACAAUUCCCUGAUUAAUUCUAGCACAAUAAACUAAGUGAAAUCACUAAAAUAUCGACUCAUCACUCCCCCUGUCCAGGAACCACAACAGUUGUAGUUUCAUGAGCCUGCCCAAGCAACUCCUCAUCUUUCCACUACUUCUAAGCCUACAUUGAAGGAGUUAAUGGAGCAGAUGACUAUUCUGAACAUUCAGUUCCAGUGAGAGAACAUGGAGUUUCAGUAGGAGACCAGAGCUUCCAUUCAGAGUUUGACUGAUCAGAUGGGGCAGAUGGCCACUCAGCUCACUGAGGAACAGUCUUAUGUUUCAGAGGAAUCACCAUUUCAGGUUGUUCAGCUUCCAGAUAAUGUUGAUGCCAUCUACAUAGGAGAUGGGGAGCAGAGUCACGAGUCUGCUAUUGCACCAUCUACUUUCCCACCCUCCUAUGUCCCCACUCUUGCAUCUGAAGGAACAGGCAGAUAUGAGCAACACCUUUGAGAUAGGUAGACCACUUUUACCUUCCACCACUUUAGCCACAUCUAGGGAAGUGGAGGUAAACAUAUCUGAGAUAGAUUCUGUUGCUGAUGAUUAUGCUGAUGAUGGGUAUGUUGAUGAUUGUAUUGUUGAUGAGCAUGUUUUUAGUUCUCCCUCUUUGCAUGAUGAGAAACAACUUUUGCCAUCUUGUUUCAAUGUUUGUUCUCCAUGCACUGAACAUGAAUCUGAGCCUAUUGUUGAUAUUGCUUCUAAAUUUGAACUUGAUUCAUGUUCUGAGGGUAUACCUGAGGUUCAGCCUCUUACACUGAGAUUGGGUGUUAUACCCCUGCAUGUUGUUUCUAUGGAGCCACAUUGCACUAACCGUGUUGCAGGAGGUACAUAUGAAUUUGACCAACACACACCCAUGGUGAAAGACAAAGGUGCCGAUAGUUUGAAGAUUAAUAAGCACCAGCUGAACCCACUCAUCAACGAUCACUACUUCUUAGAUCCAGCUGUGGGGGACAUCUCCCUGCUUGAUCAAAUCCGGAGACUGAAGAAAUUCCUCCUCAAGACUUCUUUGUUGGAUCCGGUGGUGGAGAAGAUCUCCCUGAAAGUCCAAAAUUGGCGACUGCCACCAUGAUCAGGGGAGUUUCCUUUUCCUUUCUUCCCCCACUUCCUACUUUUAUUGCACUUGUCCAUGAUCUGUUGAUUGUUAUGAUUAUGAUCUUAUGAUUGUGACACAUUGAGGACACUGUGUAGUUUAAGUGUGGUCUAUUGGGGGAGAUUCUGAUUUUCCUUUGAUUAGUUUAUAUUUUCGGCGUUAAUUUUUUUUUUGUUUUCUAGGUAGUUUUUGUUUUGUCGUGUGUACAAUUUUGCAUGUUUCUCUUGAUUCUUGGACUUUGUUUAGGUUGUAGAUGUGUCUUUCACAUCAUUGAUACUCUGAUUGGUUAGAAAUUCUUGCUUUCUCUGCUUGGAAGAUGAUUAUGAUGUUUGAGAGUUGAAUUGAUUGUGACAAUACCCUGUGUGAGAUUUGAGCCACUUGAUAUUCUUUCUUGUGUGAUAUGUCUCUUGAUUGCUUCCACAUAUGCCUUGGCUUGCCUCUGUUGAUAAUUCUUGAUUGAUAUGCAUGUUUGGAAGUGAUAAAGGCAGUUUUGUUGUUGAGCCUCUCUAGCCAAAUGAGCCUACCCUGUUUUGAUCCAUUGAUAACCCCUUUUGAGCCUAUACUUUCCCAUGUUCUUUGUUUUCAAGCUCAUUAAUUACCCUUAAGUGAAAAACCAUGAUUACCUUAACCUUAGAGAAUUUUGGAGCUUUGGAAUUGUUUUGGGAAUAAGUGUGGUCUCCUGGGAGUUCAGAGAAUUGGCUAGUUGGUUCCUCUUCUUGUUUUUGUUUUUGUAAAUAUGUUGUGUAUCUUAACUCUUAGAGUUGUGUUCUGAAAAGAGAAAAAAGAAAAGAGACAAGAUGAAAAAAAAAGAAGAAAAAAUACAGAAAAAUGCAAAAAAAUUAAAAAAAAAAUUGUGUGAAUAAUGGAGUCAAGAAGAGGAUUGAAUUAGAGGUUUUGGGUGUGAUUUGACUGUGUACACACUUGUUCCCCAUUGCUCCUCUAUUUCUUUUGGUUUAUAGCUUCUCAUCCAUAUUUAUCCUCCCUUGUCCUUGGCCCCAUUACAUCCAUAAAAGACCUUUUGAUUUGAACAUGCAUAUGUGUUUGAGUGUUGAUAUUAGAGGCUUGCCAAGACUGUUUGUUGUUUGCUUUCUUGAGUGCAUUGAGUUGACGUUGUUUAUCCUAGACACUUGAGAGAAACACUGAUAGUGUGCAUCUGUGAGGCUCUGUUACUUUUGAUUCCUCUCUUGAACUGAUUGAUCAUUUUGCCAUGCUUGGAAUUGCUUUGAUGACUUCAUGACUAUCUAUUUUCUCUGAUCCUGUGUUGGAUACUGUCUACUUUCUUUUCUUUGUCCAGAUGUUUUAAGAACUGUGUAAUUUUGUUUCUUUCCUUGUCAGUCUAUGUUUUCUGUGUGUUGAGUUUGUGUCUCUUCCCUGAUGUCCGGAGAACUGUUUCCUGAAUUGCAUCUUGAUUUUGCCCAGGAGUGCAAAAGACUAAGUGUGGUCUAUUUUGAUGAGUCGAUAUUUUAUUGAUUUCACUUAGUUUAUUGUGCUAGAAUUAAUCAGGGAAUUGUGCUUCAUUGUCUGGUGUUUUCCCGUUUUUCCUAAUUAUGCUUAAUUUGACCAGAAAUUCUAAUUUUAAUUAAUUUGAAUUUUCUGAGCUAAUUAUUUGCAUUAUUAUUUUCAGGGAAAAUUUUGGAAACACAAUUUGGGACAUUUGGNNNNNNNNNNNNNNNNNNNNNNNNNNNNNNNNNNNNNNNNNNNNNNNNNNNNNNNNNNNNNNNNNNNNNNNNNNNNNNNNNNNNNNNNNNNNNNNNNNNNNNNNNNNNNNNNNNNNNNNNNNNNNNNNNNNNNNNUUGUGAUGCUACCUUGUUUUUCAUUUUCAUUUUAUUAUCUUUAAAUGGAAGAACAAGGUGUGUUGUCUUGUCCAUGGGUCAACCAAUCUUUAUAGAAUUUUUUUUUCAUGAUAAUGGAAGAGCACGAUGACAACUCUUGGUUUCUUAAAUGAUAAAUAGCCUUUUGCUUUGCUUUGUUGAAUUGAAGAGUAUAUUAGGUGGAGUGUGUGCUGAUAGGACGGUUGACAGCCAUUGAGGGAAGCAUUGCAUUACCUUUUUUAAUUCAAUUGAAGAAUGAGAGUUGAAUAGAUAUCAAGCUUGUACGGUGGUUGAAUAAGGAGAUGAAACUUAGUUUCAUUUGGAGAAAGAAGUAGCUGCACGUGCUUGUUCUUUUAGCAAUUUACAAUGUUUUCUUUUUCUCUCCUAACUUCAUUGCAUUGCAUGAAUGGUGGGUCCACUGAUUAGAUGUUUUAUUUGGUUUCAUUUUAAUUGAAAGUUAAGAAUUUGAUUAGAUGGAGUUGGUGGUUGGGGCACUGUCACGGUUUGGUGAUGAUUGUAGGAGAAACUUUUAUUAAAUAGCUUUUGGAUUUUAGAAGAAGGAGGUCACGGCAGGGGAGAACUUUUUAGAAGUUUAUUAUCUUUUUCUAAUUUCCAUUGCUCUUGGGUAGUGCAUCUGACGUUGGGGUUUUAGGAGAAUGGAGGAAUUGAUUUUCUUUAUUUUAUAGAAGCUAGGGAAGUCACGUUAAAAUGGUACAAUCAACCCUGUGUUUUCAAAUUGUUUUGUUUUAGAAUAUUUUACAUUGUAUGUUGAGUUGUUUCUCAUCUUUUUAUUUGAGUGUUUCAUUUUAAUGGCUUUAAUUAUGUUUGGAUAUUUAUCUAUUGCAUUGUUCAAUUUACUUUUUCCGUUCACUAUGUUGUCUAUUUUGUUUGGUUUCUUUACCUUCUUGCAUUUCCAUUUUACUCACUUGGUUUAGAGAUAGUUUGGUCUCAAUGUAGAAUCAUUCGGUCAUCUGUAGGACCGUUCGGUCUUCAUGCUUUGUCCAUUUAUUUCAAUGUUUUCAAGUAUGUUUGGUUGCCUUUAAUUUUCAGUUUUAACUUGAUUUAAUUUUCCUUGCAAAAACAAUUUCAACCCCCCCACUAUGUGUUAGACCCAAGUCUCGAACCGUAGUUGGUCCUUGUGAGACGACCUAGGAGUCACUUCCUAGCUAUACUGCAUUUCUCAUAUGCAAUCAAAUUUGUAUGGGCCGCGACACCCAUCAGGGACUUAUACCCUUCAAAUAUGAAAUUGACCAGCCUAUAGCACCUUUAUUUGCCUUCAGAACUUCCACCAACUUCUCUUCUUCUUUUGGAGAUAAUCAAGUACUAAUAAUAAUUGGGUUGCUCUAGGAGGAAGGUGACUAGAGGGGCCUCAUGGGUUGCUCUAGUCUUGAUCUAAGAUAAGUAGUAUGGCCAAAACUGGGCAGCAUAACAUUACUCAACAUCAAAGAUGAAAUACAAGGGUGGAGUCACGUCUAUUUAUAGGCCAAGGGUGUCUCCUUCUAACCCUAAAAGCAUGAUCUCCCACCUUUGCUCUCAUUGGCAAAAAAUGAGGCCUUAUAACCUACAAUAAUGGGAGGACAUGUGGUCACUCACAAAGCAUAAUCCUCUCCAUUCCUAGAAUGCUAUGUGGCCACUACUAAAAGAAAAAACUCUCCACUCCUAAGGUGCCAUGUGGUUACCUUUUAAAAAGUAAAUCCUCUCCAAUGGAAGCAUGACACAUGGCACACACUUUCCACUAUGUUUGAAUGUCUAACUUUAAGGAAAAUCCUAUNAAUCCUCUCCAAUGGAAGCAUGACACAUGGCACACACUUUCCACUAUGUUUGAAUGUCUAACUUUAAGGAAAAUCCUAUGCUACUUAGGCCUUAAUACAAGCCUUAAACAAACCUACACUACAUGGCCUAAUACAAUGGCCUAAAUUCCUACACUACUCUUCAAUCCAUGCUUCAUGAUGGCUCCAAGGUGGUCCUCAAGGUAGAGUUGAAAUCAUUCAAGGAUGACUUUCACUCUCUUGAAAGUUCUUGACCAUGGCUAAGGGAUUUCCCAUCCUUCCCUCCCUCUUGAAAAGGAUUUUCCCUCAAAUCUCAACAUGGAACAAGGCAAACUUCCUUAUCUUCUAUGGAUUUUUUUGUUCUUCUCCAC
rnacentral:lncRNA from 1 species